CUUAUGUCAUUCACCUGCUUGAACCUGCUAUAGCAGGUAAUUUUAAUUUUAUUUCAUUUGACUAUUUUCUUUAAACGUCUUAUUUAUUCUUCCUUUCUUAUUUUCUUUCCUAAACUUAACAUAAACCACUGCUAUUGUUUUUUUCUGCUUUGGUUCAUCCAGAAAAUGAUUCUAAAAUUCAAUAAUGGCAUAUCGCCAAAUUUGUUAGGGAUAAUAUCGGCAUGCCUUAAAAUUGUAUAUACUAAUGCUUAUACGGUUGCUUUUACUGUUUGUUAUGCUGGUGUCUCAAUCGUCGCCUCUAUCUUCUCUUCGUCUACUAAAGAUCAUAAAUAUCAGGUUCAUACAAUUUUUUUGCCUUUUGAGUAUGUUUAUGUGAACGGGAUACCUCUUUUCCACGAAGAGCUCCAGACUUGUCCAAGUCCACCAAAGAAGCUGAACCCGAAAACUAUUGGUAUAGUAAAGUGUUUGGUCUUUGGGGAAAGGUGAAUGUAGUGUACUUUGUGAUAUACUUGUUUUUCUCGUACUUUGGAUGAGCCUGUAUAUAAUACGGGCGCUAAUGGUUGUGAUAGCUUAUAUAUAACAAGAAGGGUAGAAGCCUUCGCUGAUCAUAAGCGCUCAUUUGCUGGUGGUCCUAUUAAUGCGGAUGCUAGCAACGGAAACACACCGGUUUACAUCAAUGACCGAGAGAUAACAAAAGUGGAACUUAGAAGCUAGAAUCUUGUAGGAUGAAAUCAUUAUGAAUGCUUUUUUUAAUUGAUGCAUACCGUAUGGCUUUAAAUAUAAAGUUUUAGUUGUUGAAAAUAGAUUUUGUGCCAAUCCAUUUAACUAUGUAAAGGUUAUGAGAUGAUAUGUUCAGUUCAUUAUGUAUGACAGUGGACUGCAUUUUGAAAUUGCUCUUGUAAGUGAACUUAGUUCUUUAGACAUCUAAGUUUAACAUGAAUGGAUUGGUGUACCCUUGUUCUCAGACUACGGUGCUUUUUAUUUCCCUAUUUUAGAAAACUUUGUCUUUAUAUGUGCCUAAUCUAGAUAGUCCACUUAAUUUCAAUUAAAAGACUUUUAGUUUUAUUUUUCAUCAUCUUUUUUCAGGCCAAGAUUCUAUGUAAACCUGCCCUUUUCACGGAGGACGAGCAGGAAAAUAUUAAAUUAACCAUCCAGAGCAAUGUGUAUGGUUAUCUUGGUAUACUCCUUGAAGGACAUGACCAGAUUGAAGAAGAAAGUUUGGCCGUAACAUAGAGAAAGAUCAAUCUUCCAAUGAAAAUGACCCAAGUGGUUAGUCUCGAAGAACAUCAGAGGAAAAAUGCAAUACAUUUCAGAUCUUGAUUUUCCUCAUGAAGAGCCUUCAAUGCUUGAAUAUCAUGAAGCAAGGCAACAUAAGAACCGAGAGGCAAAGGUUGUGUGGCUACCGGUGGUGGGACCGAUCAACAACAUGAAAUUAUAUAAAACAGAGCCAAUUUGAUGCUCUCCAGUCAUUGAUGCAUCUUUACAGAAUAAGUAAUUAUUAGGACUUGAUGUGAACUACUAAAAAUUUACUUGUCUUCUAGCCCUACUUUAUUAGAAACAAGAGAUUUUUUCUAUGAUGGUGCACUAAUCACAUUCAAUUUUGGUCAUUUUGUUUAAAUUACAAAUAAAACAUUUGUAUUUUUCUUAGAUGAUUGUAGAAUU